AUGCCCUGCUUUGCUGCAGCCACCAGGCAGCCCAGUGUGACGGUGCUGCCUCCCUCCAGAGAGGAGCUGUCCAGUGGGGGCUCUGCCACACUGCUGUGCCUGGCUGACAAGGGCUUCCCCUCAGACUGGAGCCUGAGCUGGAAGGUGGAUGGCAGCAGUAGGAGUGGAGUGGCCAGUGCUGGGCUCAUGAAGGACGGUGUGUACAGCUGGAGCAGCAGCCUGACCCUCACUGAUGCUGAGUGGAGAGGAGCCACCUCAGUGGUGUGUGAGGCCAGCCAGGGAUCCCAGAGAGCCGUCAGCAAAGCCCUGAGCAGAGCUGACUGCUCCCAGUAGCCUCCAGCCUCUCCUCUCCUCUGCUCUGCUCUGCUCUGCAGCUUACAGCUUCACUUCCAGCUUCAUACAUACACCAAAAACACGCCAGAGUAAAAACUGCAGUAUUAAUUCAGAUUGUAUUUGUUCCCAGACUUUAAUGUUGAAUUAAUACUGGAUUUGUACUGUGUAGUCUCUCCAUCUCACUGACUUGCUUCUGUUGAGCUCUGAUGCA